CCUACGGGAGGCAGCAGUGAGGAAUAUUGGUCAAUGGGCGCGAGCCUGAACCAGCCAAGUAGCGUGAAGGAUGAAUGCCCUAGGGGUUGUAAACCUCUUUUAUAAAGGAGUAAAUUGCGGCACGUGUGUCUUUUUGUAUGUACUGUAUGAAUCAGGAUAGGCUAACUCCGUGCCAGCAGCCCCGGUAAGUUGGAGGGUGCGAGCGUUACCCGGUUUUUUUGGGUUUAAAGGGAACGUAGGUGGGUUUUUAAGGUAGUUGGGAAAGUCUUCGGCUUAACCGUACAGUUGCAAUUGAAACUGGCAGUCUUGAGUACAGUAGAGGUAAGCGGAAUUCGAGGUGUAGCGGUGAAAUGCAUAGAUAUCACGAAGAACACCGAUUGCGAAGGCAGCUCUCUGAACUGCAACUGACACUGAGGUUCGAAAGUGUGGGUAUCAAACAGGAUUAGAUACCCCGGUAGUC
rnacentral:rRNA from 1 species